CUGGUGAGAGGGAUCAGUGAUCAGUCUAUUGGCCACACAAGCUUGAGCACUGGAUUCAGAGUCCGGAACUCAUGUCAGGCAAUAUGGCGGCUGUCUGUAAUCCCAAUAUGAGAGAAGCAAAGACACAAUCCCCAGGGCAGGCUGGCUGCCUAGACGAGCUGGAAUAGACCAGCUCUGGGAUCAGGUAGAGACCUUGACUUAAUAAAUGAAGUGGGCCCCUGAAGGCAGGCACAGACACAUAGGAAAUAGAUGUGUCUGAAUGACCAACUACCAAGGCUGUCUCCUCUGGCCUCCACAUGCGUGCACACACAUGCACUCACAUACAAAAGGACACUGGUUAUCUUGGCACAUGCUUGUACUCACAGCUGCCAGGACAUGAGAGCUGGAGAAUCAUGUUACCUUCAACUUUAUAGCAAUUUCAAGGCUAACCUGGGCUACAUGAGACCCUGGAAGUCUCUAACCAAAAGAAAUAGGAUCUAUGAGAUCCACGGUGACAGAGGUUCCAAGAUUGGGCUCAGCAUUCCCUGCAGUUACCAUUCCUGUAACUCGAUGGAAAUGACUAACAGUAACAAGCAAGACUAGUAAGGUGGCUGCGCAGGUGAAGGUGUGUGCAAACGUGACGGACUGAGUGGCAGGGGAGCUCACUCCUGCAGACUGUUCUCUGACCCCCACACACACCCCUCAGCAUGCUCACAAGUAUGCACAGAGACACACAGAAAAUAAAAACAAAUUAAGCAAG
rnacentral:lncRNA from 1 species